UGGGGAAUAUUGCACAAUGGGCGAAAGCCUGAUGCAGCAACGCCGCGUGAGUGAUGAAGGCCUUCGGGUUGUAAAGCUCUGUCUUUUGGGACGAUAAUGACGGUACCAAAGGAGGAAGCCACGGCUAACUACGUGCCAGCAGCCGCGGUAAUACGUAGGUGGCAAGCGUUGUCCGGAUUUACGGGCGUAAAGGAUGCGUAGGCGGAUUUUUAAGUGAGAUGUGAAAACCCUAAGCUUAACUUGGGGACUGCAUUUCAUACUGGAAAUCUAGAGUGCGGGAGAGGAGAAUGGAAUUCCUAGUGUAGCGGUGAAAUGCGUAGAGAUUAGGAAGAACACCAGUGGCGAAGGCGAUUCUCUGGACCGUAAGCUGACGCUGAGGCAUGAAAGCGUGGGUAGCAAACAGGAUUAGAUACCCUGGUAGUCCACGCCGUAAACGAUGAGUACUAGGUGUAGGAGGUAUCGACCCCUUCUGUGCCGCAGUUAACACAAUAAGUACUCCGCCUGGGAAGUACGAUCGCAAGAUUAAAACUCAAAGGAAUUGACGGGGUCAUAGCUG
rnacentral:rRNA from 1 species